rnacentral:rRNA from 1 species
GACGAACGCUGGCGGCGUGCUUAACACAUGCAAGUCGAACGAAGAGCGAUGGAAGCUUGCUUCUAUCAAUCUUAGUGGCGAACGGGUGAGUAACGCGUAAUCAACCUGCCCUUCAGAGGGGGACAACAGUUGGAAACGACUGCUAAUACCGCAUACGAUCUAAUCUCGGCAUCGAGGAUAGAUGAAAGGUGGCCUCUACAUGUAAGCUAUCACUGAAGGAGGGGAUUGCGUCUGAUUAGCUAGUUGGAGGGGUAACGGCCCACCAAGGCGAUGAUCAGUAGCCGGUCUGAGAGGAUGAACGGCCACAUUGGGACUGAGACACGGCCCAGACUCCUACGGGAGGCAGCAGUGGGGAAUCUUCCGCAAUGGACGAAAGUCUGACGGAGCAACGCCGCGUGAGUGAUGACGGCCUUCGGGUUGUAAAGCUCUGUUAAUCGGGACGAAAGGCCUUCUUGCGAAUAGUGAGAAGGAUUGGCGGUACCGGAAUAGAAAGCCACGGCUAACUACGUG